rnacentral:rRNA from 1 species
GGGAUAUUGCGCAAUGGGCGAAAGCCUGACGCAGCGACGCCGCGUGGGUGAUGAAGGCCUUCGGGUCGUCAAGCCCUGUCGAGGGGGACGAAUCGGCCGUGACCUAACACGUCGCGGUCCUGACGGUACCCCUAAAGGAAGCACCGGCUACCUCCGUGCCCGCAGCCGCGGUAAUACGGAGGGUGCGAGCGUUGUUCGGAAUCACUGGGCGUAAAGCGCGUGUAGGCGGCCCAUUAAGUCUGAUGUGAAAGCCCGGGGCUCACCCCCGGAAGUGCAUUGGAAACUGAUGGGCUGGAGUCCCGGAGAGGAGGGUGGAAUUCCUGGUGUAGCGGUGAAAUGCGUAGAUAUCUGGAGGAACACCGGUGGCGAAGGCGGCCCUCUGGACGGUGACUGACGCUGAGACGCGAAAGCGUGGGGAGCAAAC